CCUACGGGAGGCUGCAGUCGAGAAUCAUUCACAAUGGUGGAAACCCUGAUGGUGCGACGCCGCGUGGGGGAAUGAAGGUCUUCGGAUUGUAAACCACUGUCAUGUGGGAGCAAAUUAAAAAGAUAGUACCCCAAGAGGAAGAGACGGCUAACUCUGUGCCAGCAGCCGCGGUAAUACAGAGGUCUCAAGCGUUGUUCGGAAUCACUGGGCGUAAAGCGUGCGUAGGCUGUUUCGUAAGUCGUGUGUGAAAGGCGCGGGCUCAACCCGCGGACGGCACAUGAUACUGCGAGACUAGAGUAAUGGAGGGGGAAGCGGAAGGCUCGGUGUAGCAGUGAAAUGCGUAGAUAUCGAGAGGAACACUCGUGGCGAAGGCGGGUUCCUGGACAUUAACUGACGCUGAGGCACGAAGGCCAGGGGAGCGAAAGGGAUUAGAUACCCUGGUAGUC
rnacentral:rRNA from 1 species